AUUGAACGCUGGCGGCAGGCUUAACACAUGCAAGUCGAGCGGGGUGAUGGUGCUUGCACUAUCACUUAGCGGCGGACGGGUGAGUAAUGCUUAGGAAUCUGCCUAUUAGUGGGGGACAACAUCUCGAAAGGGAUGCUAAUACCGCAUACGUCCUACGGGAGAAAGCAGGGGAUCACUUGUGACUCUGAGCUAAUAGAUGAGCCUAAGUCGGAUUAGCUAGUUGGUGGGGUAAAGGCCCACCAAGGCGACGAUCUGUAGCGGGUCUGAGAGGAUGAUCCGCCACACUGGGACUGAGACACGGCCCAGACUCCUACGGGAGGCAGCAGUGGGGAAUAUUGGACAAUGGGGGGAACCCUGAUCCAGCCAUGCCGCGUGUGUGAAGAAGGCCUUAUGGUUGUAAAGCACUUUAAGCGAGGAGGAGGCUCUUUUGGUUAAUACCCAAGAUGAGUGGACGUUACUCGCAGAAUAAGCACCGGCUAACUCUGUGCCAGCAGCCGCCGCAG
rnacentral:rRNA from 1 species